CAGAUUGAACUGCAACAUCGAACACAAAUCUGUUUUUCAAAAUGGCAAAAUAUCUUCUACUAACAUUAUUAUUUAUAGCUACAAUUCACUGUGUGUGGACAGAGAUCAGACUGGAGCAGCCAUCUUCUCUGGUGAAAAGAGCUGGAGAAAGUGUGAAGAUGUCCUGUGUUACAUCUGGUUUUUCUAUGACAAGCUUCUACAUGCACUGGAUACGACAGAGACCAGGACAAGGGCUCGACUGGAUUGGAAGAAUGGACACAGGGAGUAAUGCUGCUAUUUAUGGCAGUGCCUUUCAACAACGCUUCACUCUGACUGAAAAUGUCCCCAGCAGCACCCAGUACAUGGAGAUCACAGGUCUGACAGCAGAAGACACUGCUGUUUACUACUGUGCCCGACAAGCACAGUGACAGGAAGAAUGAAGCUCAUGUACAAAAACAUCCAACCAAGAGCUGCUGUGGAUG